GCUUGCGGCCAUACCGCUCUGAGCACGCCUAAGCUCAUCUGAUGUUAGAAGCUAAGCAGGGUAGGGCCUGGUUAGCGCUUGGAUGAGAGACCGCCUGGGAUUAUCAUGUGCUGUAUUUU
rnacentral:rRNA from 1 species